rnacentral:rRNA from 1 species
CCCCUAGAUGUUCUGGGCCGCACGCGCGCUACACUGAACAGUUCAACAAGUCUUAACCUUGGCCGAUAGGUCUGGGUAAUCUUUUGAACCUGCAUCGUGAUAGGGAUAGAUUAUUGCAAUUAUUAAUCUUGAACGAGGAAUUCCUAGUAAACGCAGAUCAUCAAUCUGCAUUGAUUACGUCCCUGCCCUUUGUACACACCGCCCGUCGCACCUACCGAUUGAAUGGUCCGGUGAAGCCUCGGGAUUGUGGCGAGUUCCCUUUAUUGGGAGUUUGUCGCGAGAACUUGUCUAAACCUUAUCAUUUAGAGGAAGGUGAAGUCGUAACA